GGCGUGUCCUGCCACUGCCUGACUUACGGUUUAGUGCCUUACUCUAUUUAGGUCGUCUAUGUUCAGUGUUUGCAUUAUACGUAUACAUUAAUGGGUAUAGUUUGUACUGUUUUACGGGAAUGGUGUAUGCCUGUGUGUUAGAUUUAAAAAAAAAAAUGCUGGUAGUUAAAACCAAGGCCAUUGUCAUGCUGAGCAAACCUUUACCAAUGAGCUAUAGCUGCAGCCCUGCCCAUGCCAAGGAGACCUGAGCUCCUGGGCCCUAGCUCGACCUUCCUGAGAGCUGUGCUGACCAGCAUGGUGCUGCUGGGCUUUGUUUACUUCUCUCCUCCUGCGGUGCCGGGGACUGAGCCCAGUCCUCCCCCUCCCUCUUUCCCUCUGUGUGUGUGUGUGUGCGCGCGCGUGCGUCUGCGUGUGUAUGUGUGUAUGUGUGUAUGUGUGCGUGCGUGUGCAUGUAUUUAAGUGUUUCUUCUGCUUUUGGGUGUUAGUUUGACUCUAAGAUAAUAGCUGUUUAGCUGGAGGUAAGAUUUCACUUGAGCCUGUCUUCUGGAAUGUUUCGGUGGUCAGUUGACAGCCUGUUUUCUUCAAGGCUUUGAGGGGAGCAUUGUUUAAGAGACGCUCGGUGGCUGAUACCUGUAAUCUCAGCACUUGGGAGGCUGAGGCAGGUGGGUUGAGGUCUGGUGUCACUGCAUAGUGAGUUCCUUGGGUUAGAGUGAGACCCUGAAUUC
rnacentral:lncRNA from 1 species